GAUGAACGCUGGCGGCGUGCCUAAUACAUGCAAGUCGAGCGAACGGACGAGAAGCUUGCUUCUCUGAUGUUAGCGGCGGACGGGUGAGUAACACGUGGAUAACCUACCUAUAAGACUGGGAUAACUUCGGGAAACCGGAGCUAAUACCGGAUAAUAUUUUGAACCGCAUGAUUCAAAAGUGAAAGACGGUCUUGCUGUCACUUAUAGAUGGAUCCGCGCUGCAUUAGCUGGUUGGUAAGGUAACGGCUUACCAAGGCAACGAUGCAUAGCCGACCUGAGAGGGUGAUCGGCCACACUGGAACUGAGACACGGUCCAGACUCCUACGGGAGGCAGCAGUAGGGAAUCUUCCGCAAUGGGCGAAAGCCUGACGGAGCAACGCCGCGUGAGUGAUGAAGGUCUUCGGAUCGUAAAACUCUGUUAUUAGGGAAGAACAUAUGUGUAAGUAACUGUGCACAUCUUGACGGUACCUAAUCAGAAAGCCACGGCUAACUACGUGCCAGCAGCCGCGGUAAUACGUAGGUGGCAAGCGUUAUCCGGAAUUAUUGGGCGUAAAGCGCGCGUAGGCGGUUUUUUAAGUCUGAUGUGAAAGCCCACGGCUCAACCGUGGAGGGUCAUUGGAAACUGGAAAACUUGAGUGCAGAAGAGGAAAGUGGAAUUCCAUGUGUAGCGGUGAAAUGCGCAGAGAUAUGGAGGAACACCAGUGGCGAAGGCGACUUUCUGGUCUGUAACUGACGCUGAUGUGCGAAAGCGUGGGGAUCAAACAGG
rnacentral:rRNA from 1 species